rnacentral:lncRNA from 10 species
UGAAAUUCUAACCUUAAAUAACCAACUAUAUCUUAAUAAUUAUCAAGAAAAAGUACUUUUUUUUUUUUUUCAGAGCCAGGGUCUCCCUGUGUCACCCAGGCUGGGGUGCAGUGAUGCCAUUCUAACUCACUACAGCUUCGAAUUCCUGGGCUAAGACGAUCCUCCCAGCUGAUGUGGCUGGACUGGGGGGCCACACUUAAUGAACCAUGGCUGUAAGAAGUGAUCCUGAAAGUGAUCCUGAAAGCAGAAAUGAAGGGACUUCUGUACAGUCUUACAGUGAACAAUCUGAUUCGUGUCAGUCUCCCCAUGAGAUUCUCAAGUCUAUGAGUGACAAAGUCUCACUAUGCUGCUCAGACUGAUAUCAAACUCCUACGCUCAAGCAAUCCUCUCGCCUCCACUUCCCAAAGUGCUGAGAUUACAGGCGUGAGUGAGCCACCUGGCCAGGCCCUACAGCCAAGUGAAAAACUGCAAGCAGCAGAAAAAUUUAUCUAAGAGUUUUAAAAGUCUAAACAUCUCAUUCUUUCGCAAUCCAGAUACCAACAGGAGUCUGAAACCCUUCGCAGAGGCGUGCAACACACUAGGAGAGCGCUAUCUGUUUACAAAUACGAAUCUCAGUUACCCACGUCAAAACCGCGCAUUACCACCUUUCGACUGGGGGGCGGGGGAGAGAGAAGGCGGGCGAGCAAGAAACAAAAUCCACACAGACACCUCUGCCUUCUCCCUACAAGGACGAGCCCGGGGAAACAUUCAGUAUGUAUUAUAUGCGUGUAUACAUUUAUAUACAUUAUGUAGUCACCUAUGUCUAAGCAAGGGUGAAAGAAAAAGGUACACAUGACAGGGAAUCG